AGGCUUUGAUCCUGGCUCAGGAUGAACGCUGGCGGCGUGCUUAACACAUGCAAGUCGAACGAACCUUCGGGUUAGUGGCGGACGGGUGAGUAACGCGUGAGAAUCUGCCCUCAGGAGGGGGAUAACGGCUGGAAACGGCCGCUAAUACCCCAUAUGCCGAGAGGUGAAACGAAUUUCGCCUGAGGAUGAGCUCGCGUCUGAUUAGCUAGUUGGUGGGGUAAAGGCCUACCAAGGCGACGAUCAGUAGCUGGUCUGAGAGGAUGAUCAGCCACACUGGGACUGAGACACGGACCCGACUCCUACGGGAGGCAGCAGUAAGGAAUAUUGGGCAAUGGACGGAAGUCUGACCCAGCCAUGCCGCGUGCAGGAAGAAGGCCCUAUGGGUUGUAAACUGCUUUUCUGAGGGAAGAAAAGUAUUUAUUUAUGGAUAUCGUUACGGUACCGU
rnacentral:rRNA from 1 species